GAUGAACGCUAGCGGCAGGCCUAAUACAUGCAAGUCGAGGGAGAAUGUUGGAUUCGUCUGACAUGAAACCGGCGCACGGGUGCGUAACACGUAUGCAGCCUACCUUUAACUGAGGUAUAGCUCAGAGAAAUCUGAAUUAAUCCCCCAUAAGACUACGACAUGGCAUCAUGAUUUAGUUAAAGCUCCGGCGGUUAAGGAUGGGAAUGCGGUACAUUAGCUAGUUGGUGAGGUAAUGGCUCACCAAGGCUACGAUGUAUAGGGGGUCUGAGAGGAUGAUCCCCCACACUGGUACUGAGACACGGACCAGACUCCUACGGGAGGCAGCAGUAGGGAAUAUUGGUCAAUGGACGCAAGUCUGAACCAGCCAUGCCGCGUGAAGGAUGAAGGCCCUAUGGGUCGUAAACUUCUUCUAUUAGGGAAGAAAAAACGGGAUGCGUCCUGUACUGACGGUACUUAAUGAAUAAGGAUCGGCUAACUUCGUGCCAGCAGCCGCCGUAA
rnacentral:rRNA from 1 species